AGAGUUUUAGUCCAUUUGAUUUUCUUUUCAAUUGUGGUUUAUAAAAACCGUAAUGUUGCUAACGGAAAUAAUUUUGCCUCUAAUGAUAAUUUUGUGUUUUGAUGUGGUCCAAUCUAAAACGAAAAAACCGAUGCUGGAAAUACCCGCUGAGAAAGCUUGUCCAGGCACAAACAAUGACUUCAGUUACACUGCUAGUCCAGAAAGGCACUACCGCAAUAUGCGACGUCGCUACAAAGGAUGUACUCAUAUUUACGGUAACUUGGAGGUGACACAUCUUAAUAUUGAGAAUUACAACUACGACCUGUCCUUUUUAGAAGACAUCCGUUACGUCUCCGGCUAUGUUUUGAUCGGAUUGUCGUCGGAAAUAUCAGUUCUACCUUUGCCCAGUUUACAGAUCAUUAGAGGUAAUCAGACGAUAAGAAUUCGAGAUGCAGAAGUCAGUCUAGGCGUGGUGCUAAAUUACAGAUUCAGUGACCCCAAAGUAGGACUUACAGAGCUCCAUCUUCCCGCCUUACGAGAGAUUUCAAAUGGCAUCGUCAUGUUUGCCCAAAAUCCACGAUUGUGUUAUGUAGAUACUAUUGAUUGGUUCGCUAUCACAGGUAGAGGAAGGAGGUCAACCAUGUUCCCUCGGGGAGAUCAAACCCCUCCUUUUAAUCGUAAAUGUGAUGGAUGUCCAACGUCUUGUAAGGUUGAAGGCGUAAGUCGAUGUUGGAGUGCUAGUGAAAAGUUGUGUCAACGAGUUUUACCAGAUUCUUGUCAUCGAUCUUGUCCAUAUCGUUGUUUUGGACCUGGUGCUGAAGGGUGUUGUAAUGCUAGCUGUGCUGGAGGAUGUUGGGGACCUUCUGACAGAGAAUGUAUGAUGUGUAAGGACUACAGAAUGUGGAACCAGUGUGUUGGUAGUUGUCCGGCUAGAUACAGCAAGCUUAAUCAGAUUUGUUACCGACUAUAGAUGGACUUCAAAUGACGCACACAUUUAAAGCGGCCAAAAACGCGCGUAAAUUGACAUUUUAAGCAGCUUAGAAUGAUAUGACCUUUCUAGCUAUGUGGUAAAUGUCCAUCUAUUGGAUCGGGUAGAAGACAAAUGAAGAUGACAAUAAAUCAUUCUCUACCAUGAUGAUUAUGAAUUUCCAGCGGACCUUUAGUGUUAUUACUUCUACUUGACAUUUAAACUGCAAUAAGUGAUUUUUUGAAGAAAAGAAAAUUAAAUCUUACCUUAUAAUCUUUUACUGGUUUUCCAGUUCAAGGGCAGAGACUAUUUUCGAAUCAGAGUACAUAAUAAAAUAACAUAGAAAUGGAA